CCGUGAGGGGACGGCGGGGCAGCGGGACCCCGAACACGGCCUGGAGCCGUCCUGCGGCACCGUGUGUGUGUAUAUUUGAGGUUUCCCAUGAGCUGCAAGCCCCAGCACAGGGAAUGGAAAGUGACGAGCACCUGGUGUGGUUCUCCCACAUCUCAAAGGCAAUGUCCUUGGGACAAAGCUCGGGUAUGACCGCUGGCUGUCAGCAGCUCCCUUCGGCUGCCCAGCGCCGCUUUCCUGGGAAGGAAAGUGGCUCAGUGACAGCUGUGUGUAUAUGAGAGGAAGAUGGAAAAUGGCCCAGCACCAGGUAGGGAAAUUUCUGCACAUCAGACUGGGCUGGAAAACCACUUGGAGGCCAGUUCAGGAAGCUCAAGGAAAAUGCCACCUUGGUACCAUUCCUCACUGCUGUGAGAGGCCGCUGCAGGGGGUGACCAUCCCUUGA
rnacentral:lncRNA from 1 species